rnacentral:rRNA from 1 species
AAAACCGAAGCGAACGCUGGCGGCAGGCUUAACACAUGCAAGUCGAACGGGCGUAGCAAUACGUCAGUGGCAGACGGGUGAGUAACGCGUGGGAACGUACCUUUUGGUUCGGAACAACACAGGGAAACUUGUGCUAAUACCGGAUAAGCCCUUACGGGGAAAGAUUUAUCGCCGAAAGAUCGGCCCGCGUCUGAUUAGCUAGUUGGUGAGGUAAUGGCUCACCAAGGCGACGAUCAGUAGCUGGUCUGAGAGGAUGAUCAGCCACAUUGGGACUGAGACACGGCCCAA